UGGGGAAUCUUGGACAAUGGGCGCAAGCCUGAUCCAGCCAUGCCGCGUGGAUGAUGAAGGCCUUAGGGUUGUAAAAUCCUUUCGCCGAGGACGAUAAUGACGGUACUCGGAGAAGAAGCUCCGGCUAACUUCGUGCCAGCAGCCGCGGUAAUACGUAGGUGGCAAGCGUUGUCCGGAUUUAUUGGGUUUAAAGGGUGCGUAGGUGGCCCUGUAAGUCAGUGGUGAAAUAUCUCAGCUUAACUGAGAGGGUGCCAUUGAUACUGCAGGGCUUGAGUACAGAUGAGGUAGGCGGAAUUGACGGUGUAGCGGUGAAAUGCAUAGAUAUCGUCAAGAACACCGAUAGCGAAGGCAGCUUACCAAGCUGUAACUGACACUGAGGCACGAAAGUGUGGGGAUCAAACAGGAUUAGAUACCCUGGUAGUCCCUGAGCGGGCUGGCAAGGCGCAU
rnacentral:rRNA from 1 species